rnacentral:rRNA from 1 species
GAUGAACGCUGGCGGCGUGCCUAAUACAUGCAAGUCGAGCGAAUGGAUUAAGAGCUUGCUCUUAUGAAGUUAGCGGCGGACGGGUGAGUAACACGUGGGUAGCCUGCCCAUAAGACUGGGAUAACUCCGGGAAACCGGGGCUAAUACCGGAUAACAUUUUGAACCGCAUGGUUCGAAAUUGAAAGGCGGCUUCGGCUGUCACUUAUGGAUGGACCCGCGUCGCAUUAGCUAGUUGGUGAGGUAACGGCUCACCAAGGCAACGAUGCGUAGCCGACCUGGGAGGGUGGUCGGCCACGCUGGGACUGAGACACGGCCCAGACUCCUACGGGAGGCAGAAGUAGGUAAUCUUCCGCGAUGGACGAAAGUCUGACGGAGCAACGCGGCGUGAGUGAUGAAGGCUUUCAGGUCGUAAAACUCUGUUGUUAGGGAAGAACAAGUGCUAGUUGAAUAAGCUGGCACCUUGACGGUACCUAACCAGAAAGCCACGGCUAACUACGUGCCAGCCGCCGCAGUAA